rnacentral:rRNA from 1 species
GACGAACGCUGGCGGCGUGCUUAACACAUGCAAGUCGAACGGAAAGGCCCUGCUUUUGUGGGGUGCUCGAGUGGCGAACGGGUGAGUAACACGUGAGUAACCUGCCCUUGACUUUGGGAUAACUUCAGGAAGCUGGGGCUAAUACCGGAUAGGAGCUCCUGCUGCAUGGUGGGGGUUGGAAAGUUUCGGCGGUCGGGGAUGGACUCGCGGCUUAUCAGCUUGUUGGUGGGGUAGUGGCUUACCAAGGCUUUGACGGGUAGCCGGCCUGAGAGGGUGACCGGCCACAUUGGGACUGAGAUACGGCCCAGACUCCUACGGGAGGCAGCAGUGGGGAAUAUUGCACAAUGGGCGGAAGCCUGAUGCAGCAACGCCGCGUGCGGGAUGACGGCCUUCGGGUUGUAAACCGCUUUCGCCUGUGACGAAGCGUGAGUGACGGUAAUGGGUAAAGAAGCACCGGCUAACUACGUG